UUUUUUUAGUUGGAUUUCAAAGGGUUUUGUCUGUUUUAAAAAAAGAAAACCCUCUCGAAUACUUUCUGGGGUUUAGACCUGUUCUUCAAGUUUGGUAAGAACUGGUUACAUUUUUUCUAUUUUCUUCUUCGGUGAUCUUCCUUUCUUCUUUUCCUUUGUUGUAAUUC